AUGAAUUGUGCCUGGCCUGAAAGGAUGCUUAGAAAGACUCCUGGGGACAUCAGAAUUCCACUGGUAGAGAAGCAUCUCCUAAACCCUUUCAUCUGUAAAGGUUUCAAUUUAGUUGCUGUUUUAUUUUUUAUUUUAUUUUAUUUUUUUAGUUGCUGUUUUAAAUGCAAAGUCAUCGGGAUCAUCAUAUGCAGAGAAGGAAUGGAAAGACCACUGGGACCCCCGAGGGUAGGGCACGUCCACAAGGCAGAGUUCUCAUCUGGCUCUUACCCUGAAGAGAAGGAGGGUGAACCCGGGCUGUCCCCGAAUGGGAGCCACAGGCAGGUAAGCAGCCAGGUUUCUGCCCAUCGGGUACAUCUGCCUUCGGCAAACAUCCUUCCCCUGGUUCCCAUCUGUCUCCAUGGGCCAGACCCAGCUGGACUCUUCCUCUGUGAGCAGACAGAUGGUGGGUGAAUUCCUAAAUGACCACGGUUGAUUGCCUCCUCAGCUUAGGAGAGAAAGUGGUCACUGCUGAGAAGGGUCACACAGGGCUGACUGCAUCUCUGAGUGGGGUUAAUUCUUUUUGUUUUUAAUUUUUUAAAACUUUCCUUUUUU
rnacentral:lncRNA from 1 species